rnacentral:rRNA from 1 species
UACGUAGGGGGCAAGCGUUGUCCGGAUUUAUUGGGCGUGAAGAGCGUGUAGGCGGCCAUACAGGUCAGCUGUGAAAACUCGAGGCUCAACCUCGAGACGUCGGUUGAAACCGUAUGGCUAGAGUCCGGAAGAGGAGAGUGGAAUUCCCGGUGUAGCGGUGAAAUGCGCAGAUAUCGGGAAGAACACCCGUGGCGAAGGCGGCUCUCUGGGACGGUACUGACGCUGAGACGCGAAAGCGUGGGGAGCGAACAGG